UUUUGGGUGAGUGUACCUUUCGAAUAAGCGCCGGCUAACUACGUGCCAGCAGCCGCGGUAAUACGUAGGGCGCAAGCGUUAUCCGGAAUUAUUGGGCGUAAAGAGCUUGUAGGCGGUUCGUCGCGUCUGGUGUGAAAGCCCAUCGCUUAACGGUGGGUUUGCGCCGGGUACGGGCGGGCUAGAGUGCAGUAGGGGAGACUGGAAUUCUCGGUGUAACGGUGGAAUGUGUAGAUAUCGGGAAGAACACCAAUGGCGAAGGCAGGUCUCUGGGCUGUUACUGACGCUGAGAAGCGAAAGCGUGGGGAGCGAACAGGAUUAGAUACCCUGGUAGUCCACGCCGUAAACGGUGGACGCUGGAUGUGGGGCCCAUUCCACGGGUUCUGUGUCGGAGCUAACGCGUUAAGCGUCCCGCCUGGGGAGUACGGCCGCAAGGCUAAAACUCAAAGAAAUUGACGGGGGCCCGCACAAGCGGCGGAGCAUGCGGAUUAAUUCGAUGCAACGCGAAGAACCUUACCUGGGCUUGACAUGUGCCUGACGACUGCAGAGAUGUGGUUUCCUUUCGGGGCAGGUUCACAGGUGGUGCAUGGUCGUCGUCAGCUCGUGUCGUGAGAUGUUGGGUUAAGUCCCGCAACGAGCGCAACCCUCGCCCUGUGUUGCCAGCGGGUUAUGCCGGGAACUCACGGGGGACCGCCGGGGUUAACUCGGAGGAAGGUGGGGAUGACGUCAGAUCAUCAUGCCCCUUACGUCCAGGGCUUCACGCAUGCUACAAUGGCCAGUACAACGGGUUGCUUCAUGGUGACAUGGUGCUAAUCCCUUAAAACUGGUCUCAGUUCGGAUCGUAGUCUGCAACUCGACUACGUGAAGGCGGAGUCGCUAGUAAUCGCGAAUCAGCAACGUCGCGGUGAAUGCGUUCCCGGGCCUUGUACACACCGCCCGUCAAGUCAUGAAAGUGGGCAGCACCCGAAGCCGGUGGCCUAACCCUUUUGGGAUGGAGCCGUCUAAGGUGAGGCUCGUGAUUGGGACUAAGUCGUAACAAGGUAGCCGUACCGGAAGGUGCGGCUGGAUCACCUCCUUU
rnacentral:rRNA from 1 species